rfam:Gossypium hirsutum cultivar TM-1 chromosome 25, whole genome shotgun sequence
UGUUAAAAUUUUAUCUAUUUAUACUAUUAAAAAUUGACAUGUUUAUUGGAAUUGCCAUACAGUGAUAUGUAUUGUGCUAUGGAUAUCUCAUGCUGACAUACAAGAAUCAGCUUUUAACAACAUAAAUAGAUGAAAUUUUUAAUA